GCCCCUGUAGCUCAGGUGGAUAGAGCACCAGCCUCCGAAGCUGGGUGCGGGCGUUCAAGUCGCCCCAGGGGCGC
rnacentral:tRNA from 1 species